rnacentral:rRNA from 1 species
GAUGAACGCUGGCGGCGUGCUUAACACAUGCAAGUCGAACGAAGCACUUUAUUUGAUUUCCUUCGGGACUGAUUAUUUUGUGACUGAGUGGCGGACGGGUGAGUAACGCGUGGGUAACCUGCCUUGUACAGGGGGAUAACAGUUGGAAACGGCUGCUAAUACCGCAUAAGCGCACGGCAUCGCAUGAUGCAGUGUGAAAAACUCCGGGGGCAUAAGAUGGACCCGCGUUGGAUUAGCUAGUUGGUGAGGUAACGGCCCACCAAGGCGACGAUCCAUAGCCGACCUGAGAGGGUGACCGGCCACGUUGGGACUGAGACACGGCCCAAACUCCUACGGGAGGCAGCAGUGGGGAAUAUUGCACAAUGGGCGAAAGCCUGAUGCAGCGACGCCGCGUGAGCGAAGAAGUAUUUCGGUAUGUAAAGCUCUAUCAGCAGGGAAGAUAAUGACGGUACCUGACUAAGAAGCACCGGCUAAAUACGUG